GGUGCCAGAUCUCUUUAUGGAUGGUUGUGAGCCACCAUGUGGUUGCUGGGAUUCGAACUCAUGACCUUUGGAAGAGCAGUCAGUGCUCUUACCCGCUGAGCCAUCUCUCCAGCCCCACCUCCUCCAUCUUGCAGGCAUAAAUAUGGGUGAACUCUCUAGGGACUAAUUGAAAGCCCUGAGAGCAGUGGGUGUUGUGACAUCACUAGAGACAUCACAGGGGAUGCCCAGAGCUUUCCCAGAUUCACUAGACUGUUCAGACAAGGGAUUGUUUAUAUCAUGGGGAACAGGCUUUUUUUCCUGUUAAUGCUGUUCCUCUACUGAACAGAAGCUGAGGUGCCCAUCCCGGGAGACUCUCCUGGGACACAAAUGUUGAUCCCCUCCAUUUCAAAAGCCAGAGGUCUUAGCCACUGAGAUUUCUCAGUGUCAGAACAAUGGGAAAGUGCUGUAUUUUAUUUCCAAAUGUGUUAACUGUGCAGAACUGGGACAGGAUGGAGAGAAGAGCCAGUCCAUCACGUUGUUAGCAGAAGACUUGAGAUGUCCACUUUCUUCCUAGGCUUUGGCCGCAUGAACUUGUUAGAAGGCAGUUCCAGGGUCACCUUCAGCAUGUGGAGAUUCAGGACGGGAGGGACCUUCUCAGGACGGUCUUGCUUGGAGAUGAUGCCUCUGGACAGGGAUCAAGAAAAAAAGAUGACUCAGAUCUGACACUGUGACUGAGAGAUGAAAACAAAAGAUCACAGCUCCUAUUAUCCAGGAGAUGAGUGUUUUCUGGAGAGAGAUAAUGACCACCAGACUGAGCAUGGACAGUGAAGUCUAGCCUGGUCUCUGGAGUCCUUCGUUGCAUGGGAAGGAUAUAGUUGCAAAGCGCUAUGUGGCCAUAUUGUUUUAAAUUUCAUAUUCUCAUGGAAAAGACUUUUUUGGCCUUGAUUGUUAAAAUCCUAAUUAUGAUCUCAAAAUUAAUCAUUUUAAUAUCAAAAAUGUUGUUUUCAGUAGACACAGUCAUAAAAUUAAUUUUAUUGAAAACACUUGACCGUAGAGGAACCAUGUCCAGAUAAGCACCAUGAUACACUUAUAUAAUAUGGCCAUAUGGUGGGAUGGUGUCCUGUUUUCAGUGGAUGUGUAUGUCUUCUCUUCACCUGCCCCAAUGUUUUGGAAUUGUUAAUUAAAAAUACACACAUUGUCUUAUUUUUUAUUAUGCCAUAAACUGUAUAAUCUGUUAGUAUCUUUAAACUUUUUUGCAUCUAACAUACUUUCUCCUAAAAUUGAAGAUUUGCAUUGAAUAUAUUUCUAAUUAAAUUGAAGAAAUAUAUACAUAAAUGUUAAAAUUGAAGAUUUUCUGGGAAUAUUAUAUAGAUAAUAUAGAAGACAUAGAAAACAUUUCUUAACUAAAUAAAGGGGUAAUUAGAUACAUUUUCUGAUAAAAUUGUUGAUUUACAUAUCAAAUAUUUCUAAAAAUAUUGAACAAAUAUAGAGAAAAAAGUGUUGAAAAAGAAGAAUGUGUUGUCAAAUGACAGUGGUAAAAUAGAAAACAUAACAAAUAUAUCUUCACUAAUUGACCAGCACAUAGAAAUACUUUCUGAAUACUUGAAGUUUUUUUUUUUUUUUCUUUUGGCUUUUUCCAGACAGGGUUUCUCUGUGUAGCCCUGGCUGUCCUGGAAUUCACUCUGUAGACGAGGCUGGCCUUGAAAUCAGAAUUCCGCCUACCUCUGCUUCCCAAGUGCUGGCAUUAAAGGCAUGCAUCACCACCACCUGGCAAUAAUUGAAUAUUUUGAUGGAAAAUAUUCUUGAUAAAAUUGAAGAAAUGUAUAGAAAAAGCAUUAAAGUUGUAGAAUUUCACAAAACAUUGAUACAGAAAAAAUUGUAGAAAAAUUAAGCAUUUCUAAAAUUAUUCAAGUUGUAAGAAAUAUUUCCUCCUAAAAUUGAAAAGUUGCAUAGAUACUAUUUUUGAUAUAAUUGAAGAAAUUUAUAGAAAAGGGUAUUAAAGUUGAAGAAUUUGUUGUAAAAUAAUAAUAAUACAAUAGCAAACAUAGAAAAUUAAUAAAUCUUUGCUAAUUGACCAAGCACAUUGAAAAUAAAUUUGUAGAUUUGUGAUUCAAUAUAUUUCUGACAAAUUUGAAGAAAUAUAUACAAAAAAUGUGUUAAAAUGGAAAAUUUUCAUGGAAAAUAAUACAGGUAAAAUGGUAGACAUUAAACAUUUCUGAAUUAAUUAUGUGGUAAGUAGAAUCGUUUUCUGGUAAAAUAGAAGAGUUACACAGAAAAUAUUUCUGAUUAAAUUAAAGACAUAUAUAGGAAAUGUGAUCACAUUAAAGACUUUGUUGGAAAAUAAUAAAGGUAUAAUAGUAAGCAUGUAUUAAAUGUGUUAAAAUUGAAUUUGUUGGUAAGGGGUUAGGGUUGGGCUGUGCAGUUUCUUUAUGUAGAAAAUCCCUUGCUUGAGAGCUGCGAAAUACACUCAGAUUCAAACUGUCUCUGUGUGUGUGUUUCUGUGUGUCACCACGGAAUCCUUACCUCAGCCCCAGGCGGGCGCCAUGUUGGCAUCCUUGUCUGUCUCCUGGCAACCGCUGGUGCCACCACUGAAGUCACCCCGCCCGCACCCUGGGUCCUUCCCUCUCAGCCCUGGGCAGGCGCCAAGUAAGUGUCCCUGUCUGUCACCCAGGGAAUGCUGUCCCCGCCUCUGCUGUGACUUUUUGGCCUGCCCCCGCACUCCCCUCCCCCCCCUCCUUCCAUCUCAGCCCAGGGCAGUGCCUUGUUAGCUUCCCUGUCCAUCACUAGGCAACCACUGGCCCUGCUGCUGACGUCACGCUGGGACCUCCCUGCGUCCAGUCUCCUGGAGUGGUGUCAUUUCCUGUCUUUCAUUUUCAUGAAUAAAAGUGGGCCUGGAGUUUGAACAUGCUUGUAGGUCUUGGCAGAGGCAGGAGGGACGCGAGCAAGCACUUUCAGCGCCUGCUGGGAUUGCCCAGCUUCCCAGCCACUGUGGAAUGUCCGGGUGGGACCGCAUUCACAUGCACAUUCAAAUGAAUCUAGUGUUCCAUGCUGCAGGUGUCUGUGAGCCCUGGAGUAACUGUGCUAUCUUCCUGUCAUCUCUGCAAAUGUGUCUUACCACUGGUCUUACCAUGUUCCCCAUCAUCCUGAAGCAGCUGGUCUGAUAGAAAGAUGGAAUGGCCUUUUGAAGACACAGUUACAGCGCCAUUUAGGUGGCAAUAGCAUGGAGGGCUGGGGCAGAGUUCUUCAGAAGGCAGUAUAUGCUUUGAAUCAAUGACCAAUAUAUGGUAGUUUCUCCCAUAGCCAGGAUCCACGGGUCCAGGAAUCAAGUGGUGGAAAAGGGAAUAGUUCCACUCACUAUCACUCCUAGUGACCCUCUAGGAAAAUUUUUGCUUCCUGUCUCCACAACUUUAGAUUCUGCUGGCCUAGAAGUUUUUUUUCCAGAGGAAGGAGUGUUCCUAACAGGAGUCACAAAAAACAUUCCAUUGAACUGGAAGCUCAGACUUCUCCCUGACCGUUUUGGGCUUCUAAUGCCCUUUAACCAACUGGCUAAGAAAGGACAAACAGUGUUAGGAAUGGUGAUAGAUCCAGAUUACCAUGGGGACAUUGGAUUGCCUCUCCACAAUGGAGGUAAGCAGGAUUAUGUCUGGAGUGCAGGAGAUCCCCUAGGGCGUCUCUUAGUACUACCAUGUCCUGUGAUUAAAGUCAAUGGGAAACUACAACUUAACCCAAGCAGGAUGACAAAGGACACAGACCCAUCAGGAAUGAAGGUAUGGGUCCAUCCUCCAGGAAAAGAACCAAGACCCGCUGAGGUGCUUGGUGAAGGUGAAGGAAAUACAGAAUGGGUAGCAGAGGAAGGUAAUUAUAAUUACCAGCUAAGGCUAUGUAACCAGAUGCAGAAACAAGGAUUAUAAGUAAUAUGAAUGCUUCUAUUUUAUUUUGUUAAGGAUACAUUUGUCUUUCUUCCAAUCCCUUUAACAUCAAUUGGCAUUGAAACAUUAAAAGAAUGUUCCCAAGGGACAUUUCCCCAUUGUAAAUUUACAAAUGUGUUUGCGAUUGUAGGAGGAAUAGAUAAAUCAUGUUAGUCUUAUUCACAAUCUUCUUAUCGUUUCAUGUGGACAUGAGAUAUUAUUUGUGUCAAGUUGACAAGGGGUGGAUUGUAGUGGCUAUUCCUGGUUGUCAACUUGACUAUAUCUGGAAGGAACUACAGUCUAGAAUUGGAAGGCUCACCUAUGAUCCUAAUUUGAAGGCUCAGAGACAUAAGUUUCUGACCUGGAUCUUGGUAUGGAGAUCUUGAAGCAUAGUAACUAAGACAAGGAGAUCUUCGAGUUCAAGAUCAUUUGGGAUUAAAGGCAUGGAUGCACACUCCUUUAUUCUGGGACACACCCUCUGCUGGAGACCCCCAUGCCAAUAAUAUGGGCUACACCCUCUGUUGGAGACCUACAGCCUUUAAUCUGGGCUACACCAUCUACUGGAGAUAUAUAAGGACACUGGAAGAAGGAAGAUUCUCUCUCACUCUUCCUUGCCUGCUUGCCUCGUGGAACUGAGCAACUGCUAGAUCCUUGGACUUCCAUCCACAGCUGCUGCUGACCAUUGUUGGGGAGUUGGACUAUAGACUAGGCAGUACCUUUUGAUGAUUCUCAUGUGAACUUCACUGAGGAAGAGAGUGGAAUUUGCUGGAUCUUUCCCAGAAGAAACUCUACAAAGGUGUGAUGUUGGAAACUUACUUGAACCUCAAAGCUGUAGGCUAUAAUUGGGAAGACCAUAAUCUUGAAGAACAUUGUCAAAGUAGAAGAAGACCUGAAAGGCAUGUAAGAAGUCAUAAUGGAGAGAAAAUCUAUGAGUGCAAUCAAUGUGGUAAAGCCUUUGCAAGACCCAGUCAACUCCAAAGACAUAGAGUCACAUAUUCUUGAAAGUGUUCUUCAGUUCAGGAAUUGCCUUUGGGAAAUAAUUGGUUCACUUAUGCAUAAGAGCAUAUCAUCUUCAA